CCUACGGGAGGCAGCAGUGAGGAAUUUUCGGCAAUGGACGCAAGUCUGAUCCAGCAAUGCCGCGUGAGUGAUGAAGGCCUUAGGGUUGUAAAGCUCUUUUACCCGGGAUGAUAAUGACAGUACCGGGAGAAUAAGCUCCGGCUAACUCCGUGCCAGCAGCCGCGGUAAU
rnacentral:rRNA from 1 species